GCGGACGGGUGAGUAACGCGUGAGCAACCUGUACCCAGACAGGGGGAUAACACUUGGAAACAGGUGCUAAUACCGCAUAAGACCACAGUAGGACAUCCUACAGGGGUAAAAGGAGCAAUCCGGUUUGGGGUGGGCUCGCGUCCGAUUUAGAUAGUUGGUGAGGUAACGGCCCACCAAGUCGACGAUCGGUAGCCGACCUGAGAGGGUGAUCGGCCACAUUGGAACUGAGAGACGGUCCAAACUCCUACGGGAGGCAGCAGUGGGGAAUAUUGGGCAAUGGGCGAAAGCCUGACCCAAGCAACGCCGCGUGAGUGAAGAAGGCCUUCGGGUUGUAAAGCUCUGUUAUAGUUGACGAAGGAAGUGACGGUAGGCUAUAAGGAAAGCCCCGGCUAACUACGUGCCAGCAGCUGC
rnacentral:rRNA from 1 species